GUCAACGUUGUUGCCCCAGGAUAUGACCGCUAAGCUUGGGGGAGACAUUGAGAAGAAAAUCUUGGAAACCAUCCCUUUGGGUAGGUACAGCCAACCGGAAGAAAUUGCUAAGCUGGUAGAAUUCUUGGCCCUCAAUCCUGCGGCCAGUUUCAUUACUGGACAGGUUAUGUAGGAGGUCGAGGAAUGGUGAUGUAGGAGGUCGCACACGUUCUUUUUAAGAUAUACUGUAGAAAACAAAUAAGGACUGUUGAGGAAGGUUUGAUUGAAUUGUAUUAACACAAAUUGUUGUACGCGUUUAUGAAGUUUGGGAUCACAAAACAGGAUUUAUGAAUGAAUCGCCGUAUUUGCAUCAAUUGGAUUGAUAACACUAUCAUGAUUAUCCAUGAUUUAGGAAACUUCGACU